CAGUCGCCACGGGAAUACGAAGGGGGCUAGCGUUGCUCGGAAUGACUGGGCGUAAAGGGCGCGUAGGCGGAUGGCACAGUCAGAUGUGAAAUUCCCGGGCUUAACCUGGGGGCUGCAUUUGAUACGUGUUGUCUAGAGUGAGGAAGAGGGUCGUGGAAUUCCCAGUGUAUAGGUGAAAUUCGUAGAUAUUGGGAAGAACACCGGUGGCGAAGGCGGCGACCUGGUCCUUUACUGACGCUGAGGCGCGAAAGCGUGAGGAGCAAACAGGAUUAGAUACCCCAGUAGUCCCUGUCUCUUAUAC
rnacentral:rRNA from 1 species